rnacentral:rRNA from 1 species
AGGACGAACGCUGGCGGCGUGCUUAACACAUGCAAGUCGAGCGGUAAGGCCUCCUUCGGGGGGUACACGAGCGGCGAACGGGUGAGUAACACGUGGGUGACCUGCCCUCAGCUCUGGGAUAAGCCUGGGAAACCGGGUCUAAUACCGGAUAGGACUGCUUGCCGCAUGGUGGGUGGUGGAAAGUUUUUUCGGCUGGGGAUGGGCCCGCGGCCUAUCAGCUUGUUGGUGGGGUGAUGGCCUACCAAGGCGACGACGGGUA